rnacentral:rRNA from 1 species
UUUGGUGGCGAUAGCGAAGAGGUCACACCCGUUCCCAUGCCGAACACGGAAGUUAAGCUCUUCAGCGCCGAUGGUAGUUGGGGGAUUCCCCUGUGAGAGUAGGACGCCGCCAAGC